UCCAUUGGUGGAUGGCUAAGCAGAACUAGGUGCCUCUCUGCAGUCAGUCUAUCUCCAAGAGAGGGACAGGGCCUAGCAACCACCCUGGUAGUUGGCGUCUCCCAUUGGCUAGCUUAGGUGUCUAGCAUUGUUAGGCAUCUAUCUCUCCCCAUUCAUCAUACAGAGAGCCUAGACAUGGAACAUGGCUCUGUGGAUGGCAGUGUUGUUCCUGUGAUUUUCUAGGCACCCAGAAGUGCUCACAUAUGCUGAAAUGUCAUUGCUUCAUGUUACUGGGAACGAAAAGCUCUCCAUUACCUUAAGGAGCAGGAUGGAUGUAUUCCCCCCAUGUCUCCACUGGAGGCAGGGACUCUUCUUCCUGCAACAACCCUUGGAUAUCUCAAAUGGAGGAGAUGUGGCAUCAUGUGUAUGAAGAGACUCUACUACAGCUGGGAUGGGCUGGCAGGUGCCAAUAAGGGUUCUAUAAAAUGAUUAAAAAUAGGCAUGCAUCA